CCAUGGAGCACAGCUAAAUAUACUUUAUCCGCCGAAUGAAAUCACAAUUUGUACACAGUGACACAUUUAUGAAGUAAAAGUUCAGUGAAACAUCCUCUCCUCAGUGAUCAUAUUAAUUAGGACACAAUAUCACAUACUAUAUGUUCUCCACUUUCUUAUAAAUUUUUCCUUUGUUGAUCAUGAAUUAACACAUGUUCCAGAAUCAUUGCAGUUAGUUAUUCAUUCAUUUCAACAUAUUUCCUUUUGUUGAACCUGCUUUUUAAUACAGCAGCAAAUUUUUUUUCUCACUUAUUUUUAAUACAGUCAAUUUACUUCUCCAUUGUUCUAAUUUGUAUUCCUUUUAGCACAGUUAAAACAGUCUUGAUUCCAUUCAGUUUGUCACACAUAUAUAUAUG
rnacentral:lncRNA from 1 species